rnacentral:rRNA from 1 species
GACGAACCGAGCGAACGUUGUUCGGAAUCACUGGGCUUAAAGGGCGCGUAGGCGGUCACGCACGUCCGUUGUGAAAUCGCUCGGCUCAACUGGGCGGGGUCAGCGGAUACGGCGUGGCUGGAGCAAGCUAGGGGGCAAUGGAAUUCCCGGUGUAGUGGCGGAAUGCGUAGAUAUCGGGAGGAACACCAGUGGCGAAGGCGGUUGCCUGGAGCUUUGCUGACGCUGAUGCGCGAAAGCGUGGGGAGCGAUCCGG